rnacentral:rRNA from 1 species
UACGUAGGUGGCAAGCGUUGUCCGGAUUUACUGGGCGUAAAGAGCGCGCAGGCGGUCGUCCAAGUCGCGUGUGAAAGCCCCCGGCUCAACUGGGGAGGGUCACGCGAUACUGGUCGACUCGAAGGCAGGAGAGGGUAGUGGAAUUCCCGGUGUAGUGGUGAAAUGUGUAGAUAUCGGGAGGAACACCAGUGGCGAAGGCGACUACCUGGCCUGUUCUUGACGCUGAGGCGCGAAAGCUAGGGGAGCAAACGGG